CGAAGCGCUGGGCGCCAGUGUGGCGUGCGCGUACGGGGCUCCAAGAGGCUGCUGUGCGUUCAGGGUUUGCUGGGUCCCCCAGCGAGCCGAGUCAGUUAUAAAUCAAGAGGAGUUUAGAGUCUGGUGGCAUGGCUUUAAUUACCUUGCGGAGGAACCUUUGUCAUUUAUCUGAUUUUCGGAUACAUGGAACUCUGGCUGGCCUGAAAACUCAACGUGUAAAUUGUGUUCACAAGACAGUCAAGGAGCAUCUGUGUCCAUGGUUCUGGUCACUGCAACUUGAGCCUGUUAGGGUCAGGUUCCAUCAUGCCCAUUCUAAAAAGUUCCAUUCAGAAAACGGAAAUGACCCUCAUCCAGUUGGCGAGCCAGUGUUCUCUCAAGCACACGCUUGGGACAGGUCUGAACACAGUGUUAAAAAUGUGGAUGAACAGAUAUUUUACAGGAGACUGAACAGCUUCACUUCAUCGGAAGAAGUCUUACAUUAUAUAAGCACACUGCAGACUUUGCCUGAUACUAUGGCAGCAGGAGCCUUACAUCGGAUUUGUGAAAUGGAAAAAAAAGAUGAUGAUCAAAGGUUGCCAAAAGAAAUACUGGAGAAUAGCGCCUUUCAAGCUUUGUGUAAUCAGUUUGCACAGGACCCCUCAAAUCUGUCAAACACGGGUUUGGUGACUGCCUUGCAAGCCCUGACCCUGUAUGUGGAUCCCCAAAGUCGCUUGCUGCUAAGCCUCCUGGCAGAGUGCCAGCAUCGUCUCGAAAUGGGUAGCCUGGACAUUCACAGUCUUUGUAUCCUGGGGGAAUGUCUGAUUAAACUGCAAGGUCCAGGUUGUUCGACACUAGACCUGAUUAUAUAUCAACUGCAAGGUGAAAAUUUGGAAGAAUUUACCCCCGAGGAUAUUGUGACCCUUUACAGAAUACUGCAGGCAUGUCCUGAAAAAGUUGACCAACACCAGACGUUUUUACAUAAGAUAAAUAACUUUUCUCUGUCAGUAGUUCCCAACCUGAGUCCUAAGUUGCUGAGCCAAAUGCUCACCGCCCUGGUGGUCCUUGAUCAAACUCAGGCACUUACGCUGGUUAUAAAAUUGGGUAAAUACGUUGUGAGGCAUAUCCCCCAUUUCACUAAUGAAGAGCUCAAAGAAGUCUUAGAGGCAUUCAUCUACUUUGGGUACAAUGACAGAUUUUUUACAGAAGCCCUAGAGCAACAUGUCGCUUCCCUCUGUCUCACUCUGGAUCCCGAGGUUGUCAGCAAAGUCAUGGAGUAUUGCAGUAGAAAGCUGAUUUUUUCAAAACCCAUCCUCAAUGCAGUGGCAGAAACUUUUGUUUGUCAGUCAGAAAAAUUUUCACCUAAUCAAACUGCUGAGUUAAUUGAACCAUUUGGAAAACUCAAUUAUUUGCCACCAAAUGCCUCUGCUUUAUUUAGGAAGCUAGAAAACAUACUGUUAACUCGUUUCAAUUAUUUUCCACCCAAAACACUAUUGAAACUUCUCCAUUCAUGUUCACUUAUUGAAUGCCAUCCAGUCAACUUUAUGGCCAAAAUAUUCAGCCCGUAUUUUCUUCAGCAGCUGCAAGGUGAAGAGUCCUAUUUGGACAGACUGAGCCUAGCACAACUGACCCAGCUUUUCUUAACCGCGAUUCUAGAAUGCCCGUUCUAUAAGGGUCCAAAACUUCUUCCUAAAUAUCAAGUGAAAUCAUUUCUUACUCCAUGCUCUUCCCUGGAGACCCCCAUGGAUUUUCAGCUAUAUAAAUCUGUGAUGAUUGGACUGAUUGACCUUUUAGGAGCAAGACUGUAUUUUGCUUCAAAAGUGUUAACACCCUAUUGUUACACGAUAGCCUUCUGCCCAGUUGAUAAAUGCAGUAUGGAAGAAAUCAAAACAACAAGGAGAAAAGGAAGCUAGUGUUUGUGAGGGUAUCACACGAAGAAUUUUUCCUUUCUUCUCUUACCAGAUGUUGAAAUUAAAUUAGAUGAAGAUGGAUUUGUAUUACCAUUUACAGUUGAUGAAGAUAUACAUAAAAGGGUAGCACUGUGCAUUGAUGGUCCAAAAAGAUUUUGUUUGAAUAGCAAACAGUUACUGGGAAAGGAAGCUACUAAACAAAGACAUCUGUACUUACUUGGUUAUCAAGUUGUCCAGAUUCCCUAUUACGAGAUUGAGAUGCUAAAGUCAAGACUUGAAUUAGUGGAAUAUUUACAAAGAAAACUGUUUUCUCAAAACUCUGGUGGUCACUGGUAACAAGAAGGAAUACUGACUUCAGAACCCAAAUAGUGAAAGAACUUGCAAAUUAGCCGUUUAUUUAUGUACUUUGGUGAUCUGAAAGGGGUCUCUAGUUUCCUUAUACCAUGUAUACGCUUAUCAGUAGCAAAUUUAAAAUUAAUUUUAACCUUCAUUUAAUACUGGUAUCAGAUACUUUUAUACAUCAAACAGAAUUGAUCAAGUACAAUAAAGGAAUGUAAUGAGUAAGUGUCAUAAUUUUAA